AUACGGAGGAUGCGAGCGUUAUCCGGAUUUAUUGGGUUUAAAGGGUGCGUAGGCUGUGCGUUAAGUCAGGGGUGAAAUGCCGUCGCUCAACGACGGAGCUGCCCUUGAUACUGGCGUGCUGGAGUACGGAUGCCGUUGGAGGAAUGAGUGGUGUAGCGGUGAAAUGCUUAGAUAUCACUCAGAACACCGAUUGCGAAGGCAUCUGACGAAUCCGUCACGGACGCUGAGGCACGAACGCGUGGGAAUAGAACAGGAUUAGAUACCCUGGUAUUCCACGCCGUAAACGAUGAUGACUAGCCGUCGGCGAUAGACAGCCGGUGGCCAAGCGAAAGCGAUAAGUCAUCCACCUGGGGAGUACGUCGGCAACGAUGAAACUCAAAUGAAUUGGCGGGG
rnacentral:rRNA from 1 species